GAUCCAUUAGCUCAGGUGGCAGAGCACUUGACUUUUAAUCAAGGUGUCCGGAGUUCGAGUCUCCGAUGGAUCACCA
rnacentral:tRNA from 1 species